rnacentral:lncRNA from 1 species
GUUGGCCCCAGAUGACUUUUAAAAUGUAUACAUCAUUGAAAAAGUUCCAAAUUAUCUCCCUUUGGUGGAAAAAUGCCAUUUUUGGGCUUUAAAAUUGAAAUAUCUUUUUUAACUCAUCGGUGACCUAUAUUUUUUAAUAUAAUUUCCAUAUAAGCUGUACUUAAACUAAAUUAUUGUAAAAUUUGAGCGAUUUCUGUAAUAAAUUUCUUUCUUUUUUUUUCGAUAUUACCUUUAUUUCUCCUAUUACUUCAACAGAAAAAAAAACCCUUUACAAAAAUGUAUGCUUCUUUCGAAGGCAGAUUGUGAGCGCAAAUGAACGGUGACCCCACUUUUUUUUUUUAUUUUUCUGUUAACUAUAAGAUAAAGUUCAUUUAUAGAAAAAUAUAGAGAAAUCCUAUAUAAAUGAUUUAGACCCGCGAACCCCCUUAA